CUGCCAUUGCCGUGUGCAGGGGCAUACUGUGGCGGCAGACCUUCACACUGAACCGCUGCACGCUGUACAAGGAGAACUAGACUGGAGCGACGCUGCUAGAAAAUUACCUUGUGAAAGGAAAAUCCUGUUUACACAUUGCGUUCUUUCUAGCACAGUUACACAGAAGGUGCAUAGUAAAGUUCUAGGUAUAACAUGGGUAACUCGGCGAAUAAAGAAGCGUUGUUGCAAGAAGACAGGACGCCGUACAAGAACCUUGACGAUGAAAGCAAAGAGGACAAGAAGAGAAUAAGCAGCACAAAACAUAAAUCCAUGGAGAUGGAACUCUUGGGCAAUGGCAGCAC
rnacentral:misc_RNA from 1 species